rnacentral:rRNA from 1 species
AUGUUCUGCUGCGUCAAGCAGCCGCCUGGCGGUCAGAAGGGUGCCUACUACGCCAUCCAUCACAUGCGGGCGAUCGUACGGGACCAGCAUCAACUUCUGCUACCGAGUAAACUCAAAGAUUGGGCCGCGAGCAUGUCGGCAAUCCAGGACGCGGACAUCAGACAAGAAUUCUUUCGCAUCCAGUCGGAGUUUGCGGAAAUCAUCUAUCAAGAUGUCCUUCGUACCUUGAGGCAGUUCUACCUCAGAAAUCAACCGUCCAACAGUGACAUCGACACAAUGCUACAAAUGCAGGCUGACAACGACCGUUAUUUCAUGACUCCCACGAUAGACGGCGACUUCAUCCACGCUCCGGUCCCUUGA